AAACUACUCCCUCUGUCCAACAAAGGAUGUCUCAACUUUGAUCAAAUUUGAAUGCAUUUAUAUAUUAAGUCAUAUCUAAAUACAUCCAAAUUUUGACAAACUUGAGACAUCUUUUAUUGGACGGAGGGAGUACCAA
rfam:Brachypodium distachyon strain Bd21 chromosome 3, whole genome shotgun sequence.